GACGAACGCUGGCGGCGUGCUUAACACAUGCAAGUCGAGCGAGACCCCGCUUUCGGGUGGGUGUUCUAGCGGCGAACGGGUGAGUAGCACGUGGGCAACCUGCCCUCAGCUCUGGGAUAACUCCAAGAAAUUGGGGCUAAUACCGGAUAUGACCGCUGACCGCAUGGUCUGGUGGUGGAAAGAUUUAUCGGCUGGGGAUGGGCCCGCGGCCUAUCAGCUUGUUGGUGGGGUAGUGGCCUACCAAGGCGACGACGGGUAGCCGGCCUGAGAGGGUGACCGGGCACACUGGGACUGAGACGCGGCCCAGACUCCUACGGGAGGCAGCAGUGGGGAAUAUUGCGCAAUGGGCGAAAGCCUGACGCAGCGACGCCGCGUGGGGGAUGACGGCCUUCGGGUUGUAAACCUCUUUCAGCAGGGACGAAGCGAAAGUGACGGUACCUGCAGAAGAAGCACCGGCCAACUACGUGCCAGCAGCCGCCGUAA
rnacentral:rRNA from 1 species